GAUGAAGAACGCAGCGAUAUGCGAUACGUAAUGUGAAUUGCAGAAUUCAGUGAAUCAUCGAGUCUUUGAACGCACAUUGCGCCCCCUGGUAUUCCGGGGGGCAUGCCUGUCCGAGCGUCAUUGCUGCCCUCAAGCACGGCUUGUGUGUUGGGCCUCCGUCCUCCUCCCGGGGGACGGGCCCGAAAGGCAGCGGCGGCACCGCGUCCGGUCCUCGAGCGUAUGGGGCUUCGUCACCCGCUCUUGUAGGCCCGGCCGGCGCUUGCCGACACAUCAAUCUUUUUUCCAGGUUGACCUCGGAUCAGGUAGGGAUACCCGCUGAACUUAAGCAUAUCAAUAAGCGGAGGA
rnacentral:misc_RNA from 1 species